rnacentral:lncRNA from 1 species
GAAGUGGGCUUGAGCAGUGGGGAGGAUUUGGAGAGCGGAGGAAUGAUGGAGAGCAGAGAGGAGAGGCUUGGAGGUGAUGAGAUGAGAGGACAGCUGUUCUCCCCUCACUCAAGGUAGCACUCUGAGGUGUCCAGGAGGAGAUCCGCAAAUCAUCCCACUGAGUGCUCACAGCCGGUUUCUCCCACCUCAGCCCCGCUGUGAGGAAGGACUAAGAAAAACAGCCUGCAUAGGCCGGGCUUGGAUUUCAAGUUCUCAGAAAAAGUUUGCCAACUUCUGCUGUAGAUUGAUGACUACAAAGUCUGACACAGGAUACAGUUACAGGGACAUGGCAAAGCCAGAAAAACGAGGACCAGGAGUCCAGCUUUCAACAAAGCCAAAUCUAUUCAAUAUCCAGACUACCCUUUGUACCAAGGACAUUGUUAAGUACCUUCUUAAAGACUGAGUGCAAAACAGUAU